AAUAGUUAAUAAAACAAAUUACAAAUUUGAGCUUUCAGAUGCCCAUAUUCGGGUGGUGACGUACAUAUUCAAAAUUUCAUAGCUGUAGGUACCGUUGUUUUAUCACAGUAUCUGCAUAAAUGUUAUGUACGUUAAACAUACGUAUAUUUAUGCUGAUUCUUUAUUAUUAAAUAUCUUUAAAUAUAACACACAGCGAUAAUAUUCGGUAGAAACAGUUCAACGCAAAAUGCGAAAACGAAAUUAAUAGCCCUUCUGGGCUAACGCGCUUUGGGAUAAAAACGCAAAAAUAGAACAUAACAGCUUUCAUUGUCAGUGCUUUAAAAAAAAAAAAAAAAAAAAAAAAAAUCGAUAGGCCUUAUUUAAUUUAAUAAAAUCGAAAAGUUGAGCAAGUUGCAUAUUUUUGAGAGGAUAAAUAUGCCACGAAACCUUCAAAAUCAUUUUUUAGUUCAUCACGCACGCAUAUCUGCACACAAAAAUAACAAUACCUAUUAUUCUUCUGCAUCUCUGUUUAAAAAUGUUUUAAAAAAACAUAUGUACCGAAAAACAUUUAUUUGUAAAGUAAAAUAUUUUUUUUUUCGAAAAUAUUUUAAAUAAAUUUAAAAAAGAAGAUUUUUCGCGAUCAUAUUUUGCCGCGGUUAAGCCCGUGCAGCUGUCUGUCUGUCUGUCAGGUACUGAAAAAAAUCAGUACCUCGGUACUUACGUGAAAACGUGGUUUGGACUUUGCCAAAGCUAAGUUUACUUUUAAUCUAUUUUCAUCCAUUACAUUUUUUAAUAUUAUUUUUCACUUGAAAUUUGUUUUAAUACUUUGUUUUCAUAGAUACAUAUCAUUACUAUUAUUUUUAUUUUCCUUUUUUUUUUUUUUUUUUUUUUUUUUUUGUAACAGUACUUUCUAGUUUGAACUUUUCACUUCUCUAUCUUCCUAUAAUGAACUAAUAUUGUUUAAUUAAACUUAUAAUUACUUUUCAUCUUUAUUAAACUUUUUUAUUUCUGAUAGUUUUGACUUUUGCAUAAUUGCCAAGUUUCUGAAAUUUCUAACAAUAAAUUUCAUUAAACUAUUUCUGUCACUGUACUGACUUUUUUGAAUAUGGCUUCUUUGCAUGAAAAACUGAAAUAUUUCUGUUUAAUUACUGACAUGCAUUUAAUUAAUACAGAGGCAGCUGCACUCGAGUUUGCCACCGAUGCUGGACUUCUUCCCAGAGAGGAUGAGGCACCACCUUGCCCCAAGUGCCAGGCACCGAUGAGAAGCAACAAGAGAAAGGAAUCAAAGCUGGGAUGGCGUUGGGUCUGCAGCCUGAGAAAUCGCAACAACUGCUCUGGCAUGAUUAACCCCAUUGAAAACACAUUUUUUGAAGGUACAAAAAUCCCAAUAAGGGAAGCUUUAGUCAUAACUGUGUACUUUGUUCUAGAUCACAGUUUCAGCUACAUAAAUCAGCAGCUAAAGCUAUGGAGGGAAAAGCAAAAAUUACCAGUAAUUGCAAAUGAGACUAUUGUUGACUUUUUAUCAUAUUGUCGUGAGGUAUGCGAAAUUUUUGCCUCUCAUCAUAGCAGAAUGUUAGGUGGUAAAGGAAAAUCUAUAUUAAUUGAUGAAACAUUUUUGACCCGCCGCAAGUACAACCGCGGCAGGGUAACCAAAAAUAUGACCAUCGUAGUUUUAGGCAUCUACUGUCGAGAAGACAAAGAAGGAUUAUUUUUCAAGGUUAAAGGAAAAAGCAAAAGGCAUUUGUGGCCUUACAUUAAACGUCAUGUUCACCCAGAAACCACCUUCAUAUACACUGACUCUGCUCCACAAUAUAAAAGGAUAGAAAAUUUAUUUCCGGCAGCAACACAUAAAACUACCAAUCACAAGAAAGGCGUAUUCGUAGAUCCCGAUGAUAAACAGAACACUAUAAAUGAUCUUGAGGGUGAAAACAAACUUUUUAAGAGGUCUAUAAAGAGCAAGAGAACAGAUGAUAUUUGCACGCAGUACAUGGCUGUACAUUAUUACAGGCGGUUCCGCUUGAAGCCCUUUACUUAUGAUGGAGAAAGACUUGCUCAGUUUCUACAGGACAUUAAAGCUGUGUAUCCAGGCCAUGGAAAAGUCGGCCUUGAACUUAAAAUGUUGGACGAACCAACAUCAGAAAGCGAAGGAAUUGAGGACCUGAUGCCUCCAAAGAAAUCAGCCCGACAAGAUGAUGAUAUACCAUUCAUUCAGGAAGAUGAUGAUAAAUGGGAAUUCAACCAAAAAACAGAGCCCAGAAAACAAAAGGAUGGAAAUGUUGCGAAAAUGUUGCAUAUCUUUUACAGAAAGAGCUGCAGAUCCAAAAUGUCAUGAAAUACUAUGACAGAGGUAAUCCAAAAAAAUAAAUAAAAGAAAGAAGAAAACUAAUUUUGACAGAUAAAUUGACAAACAUAGAGGUAAAGAAUAUUGCAGAAAUGAGAAAUGAAUCAUGGAAAGAAAUGAAUCUUCAGUCAGAAAAUAUACAGGGACUUCAAAAAUAACAUUUUGCUGCCACUUAGACGAGGGAAGAAGCAGAUGGAGAAAUCAACUCGGAUGACAAACCCAGUACCUGGGGGUAUAGCCAGGUUUUUCUUUCAAGAAACACAUCCGAGUUGAAACGACUGAUGCGGGCCACACCUGAAAGCGAAGGAACUGAGCAACUGCUGCCACCGCAGGAAAUCUCGACGAUCAUGAAAUUUAAAAUCUUGUUUACUUAUCUUGUAUUUUGAAUAUGCAUAAUAUGGAUAUUUUGUUUAGGGACUUCAAAAAUAACAUUUUGCUGCCACUUAGACGAGGGAAGAAGCAGAUGGAGAAAUCAACUCGGAUGACAAACCCAGUACCUGGGGGUAUAGCCAGGUUUUUCUUUCAAGAAACACAUCCGAGUUGAAACGACUGAUGCGGGCCACACCUGAAAGCGAAGGAACUGAGCAACUGCUGCCACCGCAGGAAAUCUCGACGAUCAUGAAAUUUAAAAUCUUGUUUACUUAUCUUGUAUUUUGAAUAUGCAUAAUAUGGAUAUUUUGUUUAGGGACUUCAAAAAUAACAUUUUGCUGCCACUUAGACGAGGGAAGAAGCAGAUGGAGAAAUCAACUCGGAUGACAAACCCAGUACCUGGGGGUAUAGCCAGGUUUUUCUUUCAAGAAACACAUCCGAGUUGAAACGACUGAUGCGGGCCACACCUGAAAGCGAAGGAACUGAGCAACUGCUGCCACCACAGGAAAUCUCGACGAUCAUGAAAUUUAAAAUCUUGUUUAUU